GACGAACGCUGGCGGCGUGCUUAACACAUGCAAGUCGAACGGAAAGGCCCUGCUUUUGUGGGGUGCUCGAGUGGCGAACGGGUGAGUAACACGUGAGUAACCUGCCCUUGACUUUGGGAUAACUUCAGGAAACUGGGGCUAAUACCGGAUAGGAGCUCCUGCUGCAUGGUGGGGGUUGGAAAGUUUCGGCGGUUGGGGAUGGACUCGCGGCUUAUCAGCUUGUUGGUGGGGUAGUGGCUUACCAAGGCUUUGACGGGUAGCCGGCCUGAGAGGGUGACCGGCCACAUUGGGACUGAGAUACGGCCCAGACUCCUACGGGAGGCAGCAGUGGGGAAUAUUGCACAAUGGGCGGAAGCCUGAUGCAGCAACGCCGCGUGCGGGAUGACGGCCUUCGGGUUGUAAGCCGCUUUCGCCUGUGACGAAGCGUGAGUGGCGGUAAUGGGUAAAGAAGCACCGGCUAACUACGUG
rnacentral:rRNA from 1 species